CCUACGGGAGGCAGCAGUGGGGGAUAUUGCACAAUGGGGGAAACCCUGAUGCAGCGACGCCGCGUGGGUGAAGAAGCGCCUCGGCGCGUAAAGCCCUGUCAGCAGGGAAGAAAAUGACGGUACCUGACGAAGCAGCCCCGGCUAACUACGUGUCAGCAGCCGCGGUAAUACGUAGGGGGCAAGCGUUCUCCGGAUUUACUGGGUGUAACGGGGGCGCAGAUGGCGAUGCAAGCCAGGAGUGAAAGCCCGGGGCCCAACCGCGGGUGUGCUCUUGGAACUGCGUGGCUAGAGUGCAGGAGGGGCAGGCGGAAUUCCAGGUGUAGCGGUGAAAUGCGUAGAGAUCAGGAGGAACACCGGUGGCGAAGGCGGCCUGCUGGACUGCAACUGACGUUGAGGCCCGAAAGCGUGGGGAGCAAACAGGAUUAGAUACCCGAGUAGUC
rnacentral:rRNA from 1 species